rnacentral:rRNA from 1 species
AACGAACGCUGGCGGCAGGCUUAACACAUGCAAGUCGAACGCCCCGCAAGGGGAUUGGCAGACGGGUGAGUAACGCGUGGGAAUCUAUAGUGCCCUGCGGGAUAGCUCCGGGAAACUGGAAUUAAUACCGCAUACGCUCCACGGGGGAACGAUUUGUCGUGGUAUGAUGAGCCCGCGUUGGAUUAGCUAGUGGGUGGGGUAAAGGUCUACCAAUGCGACGAUCCAUAGCUGGUCUGAGAGGAUGAUCAGCCACAUUGGGACUGAGGCACGGCCCAAACUCCUACGGGAGGCAGCAGUGGGGAAUAUUGGACAAUGGGCGCAAGCCUGAUCCAGCCAUGCCGCGUGAGUGAUGAAGGCCUUAGGGUUGUAAAGCUCUUUCACCGGUGAAGAUAAUGACGGUAGUCGGAGAAGAAGCCCCGGCUAACUUCGCGCCAGCCGCCGCAGUAA